rnacentral:rRNA from 1 species
AAUUACUAAAAAAAAAAGAUUUAUACCACACGAAUUAGUUUGAUCUAAUUGCAUUUAUAUAUUAGUAUAUAAUUUGACUGUAUUAUUAUUCAUUAAAUAUAUGCAAUUAGGGGUGAAAUAUCAUACAAAUACUAGAAUAUCUUGAUGUAUAAAAAAAAUAUUAAGUAUUUUAAUCAAAUAUGGAGUGGUUAGGCUCUAUAUUGUCAUAAUUUUAAUAAUAGAUUUUAUAAAUUAUAUAACUAUAAUUAUAUAUAUCAAAAUAAUAUUUAAUAUUCAAAAUAUAUGUCUUAUAUUAUACAAUAUUAUUUCACAAUAUAUAAUAUAUAUAAUGUAAUUAUUAGUAAAAAAAAAGAUACUUAAAAGGAACUCGGCAAUUAUAUUUUUCAACUGUUUACCAAAAACAUUGCUUUAUGUAUAAAUAUAAGGUUAUCCCUGCUCAAUGGUUUCUAAAUAGCCGCAGUACCUUGACUGUGCAAAGGUAGCAUAAUAAAUUGGCUUAUAAUUGAAGUCUAGAAUGAAUGGGUUUUUGAAAAAUAACUGUCUCCUUAAUAUUUAAUGAAUUUAAUUAAAAAGUGAAAAUGCUUUUAUACAUAUAUUAGACGAGAAGACCCUAGAAAUUUUUAUAGUGUAUAUAAAUUUUUGUUGGGGCGACAGGGUAACAAUUAACUUACCUUUAUAUAUUAGAAUUUUAUAUAAUGUGAAAAUAAAUUACUCUAGGGAUAACAGCAUAAUAUUUAAAAGUUUGUGACCUCGAUGUUGGACUAGGGAAUAUAUUAUUUAGAAGAUAAUAUUUUUGGCUCUGUUCGAGCUAUAGUCCCUACAUGAUCUGAGUUCAGACCGG